UCGGGAAGCAGAAGGGGGAAGAGCAGGAUUCAAAGUCGUUCUCAGCUACAUAUAAUAUGAGACCAGACAGGGCUACAUGAGACUGUCACAAACAACAAAUGAACAAAACUAAAAGCAAAACAACCCCGUAAAAAUCCAACAACUAAUAAAAAGUGAUUAUAUCAGCAGAAUGAAUGAUAACAUUACUAAUGUUUUGAGAUGCUCUCACUCUGUAGUCCCAGACAGGGUAGACGUUUGCCCUGGCUAGCAAACUUGUGGCAAUCUUCAUACCUCAGCCUCCCAAGUGAUGAGAUGACUCUUCAAGGGGAAAUGCUAGAAUCACAGAGGCGGUAGAUAAACGCCAUUGUCCCCUUGCCCGCUGCCAUUACUUUCCUCCUGACUUUGUUAGAUUCGGGUUUGGUCUCUGAUGACGCUAGCCACUACUCGCGUCGUAUGUGAGAGGCAACAGCGCCCUCUGGUGUCCAAAGGCCAGACCCACAAAGGGAGGGAUAAGAGAAGAGGCAGGGCAAAGUCACGUGACUCUACUCCAGGGUGCCAGACCAAGUGACGGGCUAGUCUGACAACACGUUACCUGUUCUGGAAAGCUGGGCGGUUAAGGAGCCUUGAGAGACGCUGUCGCAGAUUCGACUAGCAUCAGGGACUGUACUGGCCGGAGCCACCCUAGAUGGAUGAGAGCCGCUGGAGCAGGAAGGAGGACGGACCUCUGAUGGUAGCUGUGGAAGCCAGAGCCCCCACGUGCUAGAUUCGCUUGGCAGAGAAGGGCUAUGAACUGGAGAAGAGGGGGUGCCUGCCCACCCCGCCUCCAUUUAUCACACGGUAGCCGUUGAUGCUGGCAGCCUGCUGGAAACUGGACAGGAGACUGGUUCCCGUGGUCCCAGGCCAUCAGUGUCAACUCUGAAAAUGACCGGAAGUGUCAUUGUAGUACAAGACUUCGCACUCUGCACCUCUAUAUCUACCUUCUCAUGAGCAAAAGCAGUGCAUUUAAGGAUUCGGUGGGAGCAACAGCGGAAAGUCCAGCAUGGGGCAGGUACCUGCACAAGGAAUUUGGCUGACGUUCAAGUGGAAUUAAGAGGCAGCUGGACUCCAGGUAAUCGAGCAGCACAUAUAUCCCAAGUCAAGAAUGGGUGCACAUCAGUGUUUCCUGCAGCCCCAGCACCCAAAAGAUGAUGGGCCAGGUGUUGGGGUACACGCCUAUAGUCUCAGCCCUUGACAGACUGAGGCGGAGGGAUCAGCAGUUUGAGCCGACAGGCGAACAAACAACCUGCCAUGGAGGCCGUGGGAUGGCUCGGGAGGGAAAGGAGCUGCAGCCAAACCAGAACCACAUCGCAGAAGGAGAGAGCAGACUUCUACAAGUCCUCCGACCUCCACACCUGCACAUGUAUACGCAAGUAAAAUAAAGGCUGGACUUGAACUUCUGAUGCUCCUGCCUCCACCUCCUAACUGCUGGGAUUAUAGGUGUGUACCACCAUGGCAAGACUAUGCUGAUGCUGCAGGGAAUCAAACCCAGGGCCUCGGGCAUGCUCGGCAAGUACUCUACAACGGAGCCACAUCCCCACCCUCCAUUGUGGAUUUUGACAACUGCCACAACAGUCCUAGAUCAGGCCUGGUGGCGCUCAUCUGCCAUCCUCUCAAUCAGGCUUCUGUCAAACUGCAGGGCUCAAGCGAUCCUGUCACCUCACCCUCUAAAGUAGCUAGAGCUGUUAGAGCACGACCCUGGCCCGUCAUGUCUUAA